CCCUUAGAUGUCCGGGGCCGCACGCGCGCUACACUGAAGGAAUCAGCGUGGCUUUCUCCCUGACCCGAAAGGGUUGGGAAACCCGUUGAAUCUCCUUCGUGAUAGGGAUUGGGGCUUGAAAUUGUUCCCCAUGAACGAGGAAUUCCCAGUAAGCGCGAGUCAUAAGCUCGCGUUGAUUACGUCCCUGCCCUUUGUACACACCGCCCGUGGCUACUACCGAUUGAACGGUUUAGUGAGGGCCUCGGAUUGGUCUCGGCCCGCUCUUUACCGGGCGGCGCCGUUGGUCGAGAAGACGCUCGAACUUGAUCGUUUAGAGGAAGUAAAAGUCGUAACA
rnacentral:rRNA from 1 species